CAGCCGCCGCGGGAAUACCGAGGGUGCGAGCGUUAAUCGGAUUUACUGGGCGUAAAGCGUGCGUAGGCGGCUUUUUAAGUCGGAUGUGAAAUCCCUGAGCUUAACUUAGGAAUUGCAUUCGAUACUGGGAAGCUAGAGUAUGGGAGAGGAUGGUAGAAUUCCAGGUGUAGCGGUGAAAUGCGUAGAGAUCUGGAGGAAUACCGAUGGCGAAGGCAGCCAUCUGGCCUAAUACUGACGCUGAGGUACGAAAGCAUGGGGAGCAAACAGGAUUAGAGACCCCUGUAGUCCCUGUCUCUUAUAC
rnacentral:rRNA from 1 species